rnacentral:rRNA from 1 species
AUUGAACGCUGGCGGCAGGCUUAACACAUGCAAGUCGAGCGAGCGGCGGACGGGUGAGCAAUGUCUGGGAAACUGCCUGAUGGAGGGGGAUAACUACUGGAAACGGUGGCUAAUACCGCAUACCAUCAGAUGUGCCCAGAUGGGAGUAGCUAGUAGGGGGGGUAAUGGCUCACCUAGGCGACUAUCCCUAGCUGGUCUGAGAGGAUGACCAGCCACACUGGAACGUAGACACGGUCCAUAACCCUCGGGGAGGCAGGAGUGGGGAAUAUUGCACAAUGGGCGAAAGUCUGAUGCAGCCAUGCGGCGUGUGUGAAGAAGGCCUUCGGGUUGUAAAGCACUUUCAGCGAGGAGGCGUUACUCGCAGAAGAAGCACCGGCUAACUCCGUGCCAGCAGCCGCGGUAAUUC